GACGAACGCUGGCGGCGUGCUUAACACAUGCAAGUCGAACGAAGAGCGAUGGAAGCUUGCUUCUAUCAAUCUUAGUGGCGAACGGGUGAGUAACGCGUAAUCAACCUGCCCUUCAGAGGGGGACAACAGUUGGAAACGACUGCUAAUGCCGCAUACGAUCUGACCUCGGCAUCGAGGAUAGAUGAAAGGUGGCCUCUAUUUAUAAGCUAUCACUGAAGGAGGGGAUUGCGUCUGAUUAGCUAGUUGGAGGGGUAACGGCCCACCAAGGCGAUGAUCAGUAGCCGGUCUGAGAGGAUGAACGGCCACAUUGGGACUGAGACACGGCCCAGACUCCUACGGGAGGCAGCAGUGGGGAAUCUUCCGCAAUGGACGAAAGUCUGACGGAGCAACGCCGCGUGAGUGAUGACGGCCUUCGGGUUGUAAAGCUCUGUUAAUCGGGACGAAAGGCCUUCUUGCAAAUAGUUAGAAGGAUUGACGGUACCGGAAUAGAAAGCCACGGCUAACUACGUG
rnacentral:rRNA from 1 species